CCUACGGGAGGCAGCAGUAGGGAAUCUUCCACAAUGGGCGAAAGCCUGAUGGAGCAACGCCGCGUGGGUGAAGAAGGUCUUCGGAUCGUAAAACCCUGUUGUCAGAGAAGAAAGUGCGUGAGAGUAACUGUUCACGGUUCGACGGUAUCUAACCAGAAAGCCACGGCUAACUACGUGCCAGCAGCCGCGGUAAUACGUAGGUGGCAAGCGUUAUCCGGAUUUAUUGGGCGUAAAGGGAACGCAGGCGGUCUUUUAAGUCUGAUGUGAAAGCCUCCGGCUUAACCGGAGUAGUGCAUUGGAAACUGGGAGACUUGAGUGCAGAAGAGGAGAGUGGAAUUCCAUGUGUAGCGGUGAAAUGCGUAGAUAUAUGGAAGAACACCAGUGGCGAAAGCGGCUCUCUGGUCGGUAACUGACGCUGAGGUUCGAAAGCGUGGGUAGCAAACAGGAUUAGAUACCCCAGUAGUC
rnacentral:rRNA from 1 species